UGNUCUGUCACUGACGCUGAGGCUCGAAAGCGUGGGUAGCGAACAGGAUUAGAUACCCUGGUAGUNCACGCCGUAAACGCUGAGUGCUAGGUGUUAGGUCCUUUCCGGGACUUAGUGCCGACGCUAACGCAUUAAGCACUCCGCCUGGGGAGUACGACCACAAGGUUGAAACUCAAAGGAAUUGACGGGGGCCCGCACAAGCGGUGGAGCAUGUGGUUUAAUUCGAAGCAACGCGAAGAACCUUACCAGGUCUUGACAUCCCGAUGCCCGCUCUAGAGAUAGAGUUUUACUUUUUGUACAUCGGAGACAGGUGGUGCAUGGUUGUCGUCAGCUCGUGUCGUGAGAUGUUGGGUUAANNNNNNCAACGAGCGCAACCCUUAUUGUUAGUUGCCAUCAUUAAGUUGGGCACUCUAGCGAGACUGCCGGUAAUAAACCGGAGGAAGGUGGGGAUGACGUCAAAUCAUCAUGCCCCUUAUGACCUGGGCUACACACGUGCUACAAUGGUUGGUACAACGAGUCGCAAGCCGGUGACGGCAAGCUAAUCUCUGAAAGCCAAUCUCAGUUCGGAUUGUAGGCUGCAACUCGCCUACAUGAAGUCGGAAUCGCUAGUAAUCGCGGAUCAGCACGCCGCGGUGAAUACGUUCCCGGGCCUU
rnacentral:rRNA from 1 species